rnacentral:lncRNA from 10 species
AGGAACUGGCUGGAAGAUGGGGUGUGUGUGCGUAUAUGGGAGCGAGGAAAGCGCUGUAGGAAGCAUGCAGGCCGCUUUAUUUUACAGCUGUGGGAGUGGUGGACAAGGGCGGCGGCUCUGCGAGAAGCACGUGGGCGCGGCGGGCCGCCUCAGGGAUGGAGUAGGCUGUGGUCUUGCCAACUCCCGUUAUCAAAGGCCCAAGGACGCCAUUCACUCAGCCCCGGGCGGGCGUGGGUCUGGGGGCCGGAAACCCGAAGUCCUGUGGGUGCCGUGGAAUGCACGAGCAGCCGGCGGAGCAAACCUGCCCCAUAGAUUUUUCUAAACCGUUCGCCACAGAAACGCUACUCUGUCUUCUCUGACCGACUCUGUGCACUGCAGCCUUGCACAAAGAAAACAGGAGGUACUCCAAGUCUGAGAUACUGUUCCGACUAGGAAAGGGGUAGCUUCUGGUACCUGCAGCUCUCUCGGGGCAGGGUCCCGCGGGUCGUACCCACCUCCCCGCUCGAGUGCGGUCAAAACCCGGAGACCGGAUUACAUCCCAAUCCAGAAGUCUCAGGGCGCCCGCAGUUAGUUCAGGGCAUGCUCAGUCGCAGAGCAGGUUUUUGGGCUUGGAAGUAGGAAGCUUUUGCACCACACACCCACACUCUAGCUCAAAUUACCUCUCCCAGACUCUGCACUCAUUGGUCUCGGGGCGCGAGUCUGACACCCCUAAGUGUUGUUCAUUGGCUGCCGCCAAGGCUUUAUCAGUUUGGGGCGCUUCAUUGGCUAAAAAGUAGCCUCCGCUCGCGAUUGGUUAUUUAUAGAGAUUGAGCGGAGAGGCGGAGGCACAGCUGUUCUUUCUCCGUUGCUCCCCCACCCUCUGCCUCCCACUUCCCCAACCCUGGCGUUUUGAAGUAAAAGUGAAAAAAUAAGAGGCAUUUAGGCUGAGAGCUCAGAACUAAAUAUAGUUCUUUGUUGGUGUUUUCGAGAGGGUCUGACUCCUCGGUUUCCAGUCACGACUGCCCCUUAAAGGGAGCACAAAGGGCUAAUUACAGAUGAGGAAACUGAGGCUGUGAGAUGAUCAAUAAUUUGCCUGCGAUGCCACAACUAGAAAGUGGCCAACCUAAGAUUCCAACCCAGGGAUUUGCCUGCAGAGCCUAGUCUCAUAACCACUGGACCAUACUUACCCGUCACAUGAAUGUUCCGGUAUGUUAUUCUUUCUUAGGGUGAUUUUAGAGGCUGUGUGAUCAGACUGGCUCUUAAACCCAAGAGGGACCUCCGCCCACAGCCACCCUCUGGCUCUCCUCUGGCAGUGCCCCUCUUCCGGUCAGGCUGAUGGCCCAGCUGGAGCCUGACCCUCUUCUAGACUACAUACGCUCCAUGUAGUCAGAACUCUGGACUGCUCUGCCCAAAUGGUGCCAAGUUCACUUUCAGGAUCUGGUCGGGACUCUGAACUCACUCCUGUGUCCAAGAAAUAGCUCUUCUUUGGGGUGUGGACAGUACCUGGACCUGUGGGCUAAGGUGUGCACUCCCAGGUGCUUUGGGCCCCUCGUAAUGCAGGAAGAGGGAUCAUUCGCGAUCAGCUUUAUCCUCCAUGACACCUUCCAGCCUGGCCCUUAGAGAAGUCCAGGAAUUCAUAGUUCACAACUGGCCAUCCAGCUCCGUGUAGGAGGUAUUUGUCAAGGUGGGAGGACAGAUCAUAUUUUGUUUAACAGUUUGUUAUCUUGAUUUAUGACUUAAAUACUUAGGUUAAUGCUAUGUGGGCCUCUAUUGGUACUCUUAACCACAAAUAUUAGGUGUGGUUCUGAGUGUGAUAUAGAAGCAGAUGCUUUGUCCUUCUGGGCCUGAAGUCUAAUCUCAAGUAUUGGAUAUCAGUUAUUAUCAGAGGCCUUAGGCGAGUCACUUAAGCUCUCCUAACCUUAGUUUCCCUUUCUAUAAAAUGGUGAUAAUAUAAUUUGCCCUACGCACCUACCUACACAAGGAAACUUGGAGAAAAUCCGGUCACCAAAUCAAUCAUUUUACAGCAGAGAGAGCUGAGCAGAAUUAGGACCCUGCUGUCUUAGCUGCCCUUACCAUGUGCCAGGCUGUCCAGAGGGAUAAUAAUUAACAGAUAAUAGACGGAAACAUGUUUCUAAAGCUGCAGCACCCCAUACGUGCAUCAAAUUACUGCUCAGACCCAGACAGCCUGACAGUCCCUUGAGAAAUGACCAUUCCUAAGACUCUAGGUAGCCAUGUGGAUGGGUAUUACUGAACCUUUAUGGCCUCCUCAGUACCAGAAAGAUGCCACAAUUUGAAUACUUUUUAUUAGGGAUUCUUCAAUAGCAAUUUUUAUUACAUUCAGAUGGUCUUCCACAGAAAGAUUUAUAUUGGACCUUUGGGAUUUCAAAUGAAGCAAUGAAAAAUGUACAAUUUUUUUUUUUUUUUGAGACAGUGUCUUGCUCUGUCGCCCAGGCUGGAGUGCAAUGGCACGAUCUCAGCUCACUGCAACCUCUGCCUCCCAGGUUCAAGUGAUUCUCCAGCCUCAGCCUCCUGAGUAACUGGGAUUACAGGGGCGUGCCACCACGCCUAACUAAUUUUUGUAUUUUUAGUAGAGACAGGGUUUCAUCAUGUUGGCCAGGCUGGUCUCGAACUCCUGAUCUCAGGUGAUCUGCCCACAUCAGCCUCCCAAAGUACUGGGAUUAGAGGCAUGAGCCACUGUGCCCGGCCCAGUGUACAAAUUUUUAGGGUUGAUCAUUUCUUCAUGUAAAAUUUGUUAGGAAUAUUUUUACCCCCACUCACAGCGUGAAACAUUAUCUAUCCUGUACUAUAAUUAUUACAUUUCCAUAACUAAGUCUGGUCACCUUAAGCACCAUGUGAAAUACUCAAGGGCAAGGUCCAUGUCUAGUUUAUCUUUAGAGCCACCUUUGUCCUUCACAGCACUUAGUACCGUAGAAAGCCCUCAAAUAUUUAUUAAUGAAUGUGUGAAUGGUAUUUUAUCCUUUUCCAAACUCUAUUUGUGUUAGAAGAUCAUAUCAAUCCUUGAUAAGACAUAACAUGUUUUCGAUCCACAGAAAAAUGUAUACUAAUGUGUCAGUCUGUCUCCCUGAGUCACAAAGAUGCUGGAGUGAUCAAAGUCUUCAUUUAUUGGGGUGAAAACACUAAAUCAGUGCUAUCUUGAGGAAAGAUACCAAAGCAUCCAAUGGAUAAAGCUUUUGUCUGAAGAAGACAUUUUCAGAUUAUGUGGAAAGGCAUUUUUGAAAAACAAUCUAACAUAAAAGCUAUCAGGAAGAGACAGCUUAACUUUGAUACUUUGCAUAAACAGGGGUCCCAUUCCUAACCUUUGCUCACAGAGUGACCUCCUUCCAAGAUACACAGGUUGGGUCUUGAAAGAAUUAGAUUUCUUAGAAUGUGACUGUUUUACGUCCUCAAGAAAAUAACUACCCGCUUGUUCUUUUCAUUUGUACUAGGUAAGUGGAGGUUUGUUUCAUAAUGUUCAUAGUUUUAGUUAGUGUCACCUAUAGGUAAACAAAAAAUUCUGAACAAAUUCUAAUUUUGAAAGCAUCAAAGGUAAGUUGAUAGUGACCAUAUAUCAUUAUUUGAAAGCUGAAGUAGGCCAGGCGCAAUGGCUCACACCUGUAAUCCCAGCACUUUGGGAGGCCGAGGCGGGCAGAUCACGAGGUCAGGAGUUUGAGUCCAGCCUGGCCAAAACGGCAAAACCCCAUCUCUACUAAAAAUACAAAAAUUGGCUGGGUGUGGUGGCACAUGCUUGUGGUCCCAGCUACUUGGGGGGGCUGAGGCAGGAGAAUCACUCGAACCUGGGAGGCAGAGGUUGCAGUGAGCAGAGAUUGUGCCACUGCACUCCAGCCUGGGUGACAGAGUGAGACUCCAUCUCAAAAAAAUAAAUAAAGUGGAGGUAUAAGUGUGAGAAUAACUGUGCCUUACUGUGUUCUCAAUAUGUGUUAAGUAACUGAAUAUAUUAUAACAUGACCACAUAUCCACUAGUAGGCUUAGGAUAUUUUACUUUAUCAAUGGUCCUUUUUUAAUAAUCUUCAGUAAUGUCUCUAAAAAUAUUUUGUACAUCAACCAAACCAUCAUUAUCAUUUCAUACUAUUCAUACUAUUCAGAUUACACUUUGGGUAGACAACAUAUUACACAUUAUUUCACACUACUAUAUACUAUUCAUAUUAUACUUUGGGAAGCCAUUUUGUAAGAACAAUUACUUGUAAUGAGAUUUUAUGUCUUUAUAUUUUAACAGUGUCCUAAAAUCCUAGCAUGAUAACUAGGAGAGACAAAGAUCUGCCUAGUUUUCUAAUUUCAGUGUCUGCCUAUAUAACUUGUACUCUGAUUCUUUUUUCCUAUUUUAAUUAUUCUUCAAAGGAAAGUGUGUAGAAGAGUCUUAAAUUUUAAAUUAAAUAACCUCUUAAAAUCAAGUUUUCUAUAAACUUUUUUACAGGCAAAAACAAAUAGGAGAAUCAAAAUAGCUAUGUCUCAAAGCUGUUGUUUAACAAUUUAAUAUUAAAUAAUGAUCUCAACAUAUAAAUUAAUAGUCUGUUUAAGAUUUGUCUCCUCACAACCUUCUGUUCCAGAAAACCAAAUACAGCAAGAAUGAGAGAAAUUGCACUGUUGCAUUAAAAAGAAUUUUCCUGCCGGGCGCAGUGACUCACGCCUGUAAUCUCAGCACUUGGGGAGGCCGAGGCGGGUGGAUCACGAGGUCAAGAGAUCAAGACCAUCCUCGCCAACAUGGUGAAACCCCGUCUCUACUAAAAAUACAAAAAAUUAGCCGGGUGUGGUGGCGGAUGCCUGUAGUCCCAGCUACUCAAGAAGCUGAGGCAGGAGAAUCACUUGGACCCUGGAGGCAGAGGUUGCAGUGAGCCGAGAUUUCGCCACUGCACUCCAGCCUGGCGACAUAAUGAGACUCUGUCUUAAAAAAAAAAAAAAAAGGAAUUUUCCUCUCACUUUCUUCUCACCACUACUAGAUUAAAGGAGCCCCCUUUUCUUCUGCAGGUGAGAGGUGACAGCGUGCUGGCAGUCCUCACAGCCCUCGCUCGCUCUCAGCGCCUCCUCUGCCUGGGCUCCCACUUCGGCGGCACUUUAGGAGCCCUUCAGCCCACCACUGCACUGUGGGAGCCCCUUUCUGGGCUGGCCAAGGCCGGGGCCGGCUCCCUCAGCUUGCAGGGAGGUGUGGAGAGAGAGGCGCGAGCGGGAACCGGGGCUGCGCGCGUGGCUUGAGGGCCAGCUGGAGUUCCGGGUGGGCGUGGGCUUGGCGGCCCAGCACUCGGAGCAGCCCCCUGCCGGUCCCGGGCAAUGAGGGGCUUAGCACCCAGGCCAGCGGCUGCGGAGGGUGUACUGGGUCCCCCAGCAGUGCCGGCCCACCGGUGCUGCACUCGAUUUCUCGCCGGGCAGGGCUCGGGACCUGCAGCCCACCAUGCCUGAGCCUCCCACCCCCUCCGUGGGCUCGUGUGCGGCCGGAGCCUCCCCUAGGAGCGCCGCCCCCUGCUCCAGGGCGCCCAGUCCCAUCGACCACCCAAGGGCUGAGGAGUGCCGGCGCACGGCGCGGGACUGGCAGGCAGCUCCACCUGCAGCCCCAUUGCGCGAUCCACUGGGUGAAGCCAGCUGGGCUUCUGAGUCUGGUGGGGAUGUGGAGAAGCUUUAUGUCUAGCUCAGGGAUUGUAAAUAUACCAAUCGGCACUCUGUAUCUAGCUCAAGGUUUGUAAACACACCAAUCAGCACCCCUGUCUAGCUCAGGGUUUGUGAAUGCAAUCGACACUCUGUAUCUAGCUACUCUGGUGGGGACUUGGAGAACCUUUGUGUGGACACUCUGUAUCUAGCUAAUCUGGUGGGGACGUGGAGAACCUUUAUAUCUAGCUCAGGGAUUGUAAACACACCAAUCAGCGCCCUGUCAAAACAGACCACUCAGCUCUACCAAUCAGCAGGAUGUGGGUGGGGCCAGAUAAGAGAAUAAAAGCAGGCUGCCCAUGCCAGGAGUGGCAACCUGCUCGGGUCCCAUUCCACACUAUGGGAGCUUUGUUCCUUCACUCUUUGCAAUAAAUCUUGCUGCUGCUCACUCUUUGGGUCCACACUGCCUUUAUGAGCUGUAACACUCACUGCGAAGGUCUGCAGCUUCACCACGAACCCACCGGGAGGAACGAACAACUCCAGAUGCGCCGCCUUAGGAGCUGUAACACUCGCCGCGAAGGUCCGUGGCUUCACUCCUGAGCCAGCGAGACCACGAAGCCCACCAGAAGGAAGAAAUUCCGAACACAUCCGAACAUCAGAAGGAACAAACUCUGGACACGCCACCUUUAGGAACUGUAACACUCACCGCGAGGAUCCGCGGCUUCAUUCUUGAAGUCAGUGAGACCAAGAACCCACUAAUUCCGGACACACAGGGACAGCAAUCCACUGCUUGCCUUGAUGUACGAUUGAAGCCUAUCACCCCUUCUGCAGCAGUGGCUCAGGAGAGCAUCAGUAAAGAUGGCAAGAUUGAAAUCCAAGCAACAGAAUUUCCACUGAAUAGAAAUUUCUGAGGAAAGUGUAAGGACAGGUGUGAGAAUUCUGGUGGCAAGGAUGAGGAAGCAUCCCCCUUCCCAAACAGGAAAGAAGAGCCAAGAGACCUGAAAAGGAGCUGGAGCCAAGAAGGUGAAAAGGUGAGAGUUCCCAUUGCAAAUAACCUUCUCUCUGUAAAUAAAAAUGGAAAGGCACCUGCUGAAAGAUGGGAGACCAUGUGUGAAUUUGGGAAUCUGAGUAAUAAUAAAGCUGUUCCUAACAGUGACUGUGCAGUGCAGCACAAAGUUGCCAGGCUGCUAAAUUUGGGUUACAGAAAUUUGUGAAGAUGCCAAUUCAGGUUUUUUUGUUUUUAUUAAGAAGGAUACUAGCAAUUCUUAAAUCUGUCAGAUCAGAUUAUCUUAAAAUUUCUGAAGGCUUUUUUUCCACACAAACAAAUAAAUAUUUAUAAAAUGAACUAUAUGCUCAUACCCUUAGUGAAAAUAUAUGCACAUCAAUUUAUGACUUGUGUAAGUCAAUUACUAAUUCAAUUACUAAUGGGAAAUUGGAUGAACUCAGUAAAACUGUCUUAACUAUGUCUCUUGAGUUUCUUUUUCUAUUACAUGCUAAAUUACAAUAAAACCUUGACUACCUAAACUCUCAGAGAUUCAGUUUUUUUUUUGUUUUGUUUUUUGGUUUUUUUUGAGUAGUUGAGUAUUUGUUUAGAAAACAUUGCUGUUGUCUGAGUUGUUCUGUCACAGUAAGAAAAAUAUUUAGGCCGGGCGUGGUGGCUCACGCCUGUAAUCUCAACACUUUGGGAGGCCAAGGUGGGUGGAUCACCUGAGGUCAGGAGUUAGAGACCAACCUGGCCAACAUGGUAAAACCCCAUCUCUACUAAAAAUACAAAAAUUAGCCAGGCAUGGUGGUGGGCACCUGUAAUCCCAGCUACUCGAGAGGCUGAGGCAGGAGAAUCACUUGAACCCGGGAGGUGGAUGUUGCAGUGAGCUGAGAUCGU